GCCUGGAUGGCUCAGUCGGUUAAGCAUCUGACUUCAGCUCAGGUUGUGAUCUCGCGGUUCGUGGGUUCAAGCCCCGUGUCGGGCU
rnacentral:tRNA from 1 species